UGGCGACCGGCGCACGGGUGAGUAACACGUAUCCAACCUGCCGAUGACUCGGGGAUAGCCUUUCGAAGGAAAGAUUAAUACCCGAUGGCAUAGUUCUUCCGCAUGGUAGAACUAUUAAAGAAUUUCGGUCAUCGAUGGGGAUGCGUUCCAUUAGGUUGUUGGCGGGGUAACGGCCCACCAAGCCUUCGAUGGAUAGGGGUUCUGAGAGGAAGGUCCCCCACAUUGGAACUGAGACACGGUCCAA
rnacentral:rRNA from 1 species